AACGAACGCUGGCGGCAUGCCUAACACAUGCAAGUCGAACGAGACCUUCUGGUCUAGUGGCGCACGUGUGCGUAACGCGUGGGAACCUGCCCUUAGGUUCGGAAUAACUUCCCGAAAGGGGUGCUAAUACCGGAUAAUGUCUUCGGACCAAAUAUUUAUCGCCUUUGGAUGGGCCCGCGUUGGAUGAGCUAGUUGGUAGGGUAAAAGCAUACGAAGGCGAAGAUCCAUAGCUGGUCUGAGAGGAGGUUCAGCCACACUGGGACUGAGACACGGCCCAGACUCCUACGGGAGGCAGAAGUGGGGAAUAUUGGAGAAUGGGCGAAAGCCUGAUCCAGCAAUGCCGCGUGAGUGAUGAAGGCGUUAGGGUUGUAAAGCUCUUUUACCCGGGAUGAUAAUGACAGUACCGGGAGAAUAAGCUCCGGCUAACUCCGUG
rnacentral:rRNA from 1 species